GAUGAACGCUGGCGGCGUGCCUAAUACAUGCAAGUCGAGCGAACAGACGAGGAGCUUGCUCCUCUGACGUUAGCGGCGGACGGGUGAGUAACACGUGGAUAACCUACCUAUAAGACUGGGAUAACUUCGGGAAACCGGAGCUAAUACCGGAUAAUAUAUUGAACCGCAUGGUUCAAUAGUGAAAGACGGUUUUGCUGUCACUUAUAGAUGGAUCCUCGCCGCAUUAGCUAGUUGGUAAGGUAACGGCUUACCAAGGCGACGAUGCGUAGCCGACCUGAGAGGGUGAUCGGCCACACUGGAACUGAGACACGGUCCAGACUCCUACGGGAGGCAGCAGUAGGGAAUCUUCCGCAAUGGGCGAAAGCCUGACGGAGCAACGCCGCGUGAGUGAUGAAGGUCUUCGGAUCGUAAAACUCUGUUAUUAGGGAAGAACAAAUGUGUAAGUAACUAUGCACGUCUUGACGGUACCUAAUCAGAAAGCCACGGCUAACUACGUG
rnacentral:rRNA from 1 species